rnacentral:rRNA from 1 species
AGAGUUUGAUCCUGGCUCAGGAUGAACGCUAGCGGCAGGCCUAAUACAUGCAAGUCGAACGAUAGUUGGUGCUUGCACCAACGAAAAGUGGCGCACGGGUGCGUAACGCGUAUGCAACCUACCUUAUUCAGGGGGAUAGCCCGAAGAAAUUCGGAUUAACACCGCAUAAAAUCACAGUCCAGCAUUGGAUAAUGAUCAAAUAUUUAUAGGAGUAAGAUGGGCAUGCGUGUCAUUAGCUAGUUGGCGGGGUAACGGCCCACCAAGGCGACGAUGACUAGGGGAUCUGAGAGGAUGACCCCCCACACUGGUACUGAGACACGGACCAGACUCCUACGGGAGGCAGCAGUAAGGAAUAUUGGUCAAUGGAGGCAACUCUGAACCAGCCAUGCCGCGUGCAGGAAGACAGCCCUCUGGGUCGUAAACUGCUUUUAUUCGGGAAUAAACCUUUCUACGUGUAGAGAGCUGAAUGUACCGAAGGAAUAAGGAUCGGCUAACUCCGUGCCAGCAGCCGCGGUAAUACGGAGGAUCCAAGCGUUAUCCGGAUUUAUUGGGUUUAAAGGGUGCGUAGGCGGCUUAUUAAGUCAGGGGUGAAAGACGGUGGCUCAACCAUCGCAGUGCCUUUGAUACUGAUGAGCUUGAAUGAACUAGAGGUAGGCGGAAUGUGACAAGUAGCGGUGAAAUGCAUAGAUAUGUCACAGAACACCGAUUGCGAAGGCAGCUUACUAUGGUUUUAUUGACGCUGAGGCACGAAAGCGUGGGGAUCAAACAGGAUUAGAUACCCNNGUAGUCC